AGGGUUUGAUUAUGGCUCAGGAUGAACGCUGGCGGCGUGCUUAACACAUGCAAGUCGAACGAAGCUCUGAUCAUCGAGUUUUCGGACAAGAUGAGAGGAAGACUUAGUGGCGGACGGGUGAGUAACGCGUGAGCAACCUGCCUCAGAGUGGGGGACAACAGUUGGAAACGACUGCUAAUACCGCAUAACAUAACGUUAAGGCAUCUUGAUGUUAUCAAAGAUUUAUUGCUCUGAGAUGGGCUCGCGUCUGAUUAGCUAGUAGGUGAGGUAACGGCUCACCUAGGCGACGAUCAGUAGCCGGACUGAGAGGUUGGCCGGCCACAUUGGGACUGAGAUACGGCCCAG
rnacentral:rRNA from 1 species